rnacentral:tRNA from 1 species
AAGAAGUUAAUUUAAAAAAAAAUAUUUAUUUGUCAAAUAAAAUUUGCAUAAGUUAAAAUUGUACUUCUUG